UUAAAUUGAAGAGUUUGAUCAUGGCUCAGAUUGAACGCUGGCGGCAGGCCUAACACAUGCAAGUCGAACGGUAACAGGAAGCAGCUUGCUGUUUCGCUGACGAGUGGCGGACGGGUGAGUAAUGUCUGGGAAACUGCCUGAUGGAGGGGGAUAACUACUGGAAACGGUAGCUAAUACCGCAUAACGUCGCAAGACCAAAGAGGGGGACCUUCGGGCCUCUUGCCAUCGGAUGUGCCCAGAUGGGAUUAGCUAGUAGGUGGGGUAACGGCUCACCUAGGCGACGAUCCCUAGCUGGUCUGAGAGGAUGACCAGCCACACUGGAACUGAGACACGGUCCAGACUCCUACGGGAGGCAGCAGUGGGGAAU
rnacentral:rRNA from 1 species